ACAGCCUUAUCAGCAUGAGUGGGAGAGACUUGGCGUUUUCUAAUUGUUGAUGCCAGGUAAGGAAACUUAGCUGAAAUAUGGGUGUAAAUAUGAAUCCCUUAUGUCUUUAUACUUCUCAGAGUUCUUUGACAUUGAAUCUCAUUGGUUCUUCACCCAAACUGUUGCAGUUUUCAACACAGAAAAUAUGAUUCUCUCUCUCGCUCUCUCUUUUUUUUUUUUUUUUUGCAGAUGGAGAGACAGAGGGAAGAAGAGACUUGGAAUCACUCCGUCCUGGCUGUGGGCUGUAUAGCAAGUUUUGGAAGCGCUGAACACCCACACAGAGCUGGCUGCUCUCAGGCGAGGAGGCAUCUUCACUAAGGAGAAUGCAGAAAGGUGACACUGCAUGGCUUCUGAGGCUAGGUCCAGAAAAGGUGAUGCAGCUUCCCACUUUGUGCUGAAAUGCAGCGCUUGGACCUCAGAGCUACUGACUAAGAAGUCCAUGCACUCUGAGCUUCUCUUGCUGGGGAAGCCACGUGCAGGCAUUCAGUUCCCAGCCCAGCUGAGCUUCAUCCUGGCUGCAACAAUUGUUCUCAUGAGGAAGCUGUCUUGGACAUCCAGCUCCAUGGAGCCUCCACAUGUCGCCAGCCCCAUCUGACAUCUCACUGCAGCCACAGAAGAGCCUCCAACCAAGAACUGCACAGCUGAACCCUUUCUAAAUUCUUAACCUCCAAAAAGCCAUGCACAAAAUAAAAUGGUUAUUUUGAGCCACUAAACUUUGGAGCCUCGAGUAGGGGAGAAGUUCCUUUGGGUAGGUGUCGUUUUCCUAGGCUACCAUCCAUUUUCUCUUAUUUUAGUGAUAGCAGUCUGAUUUGUGUGUGUUGUGUGUGUUUUGUGUGUGUGUGGGUGGGUCGGGGGUAACCCUGUUCUUAAGCCAUGUAGUUCAGGUGCCUCCUGGAUGUGCCUACGUAACCAUCAUAUCCCCCCUACAGUACAGUGUUUGUAAAGAAUUGAGCAAAUAAUCUAGGACGGACCACUGAGAUUCUGCCUUGUGACUUUUGUUAAAAUUAGUGAGAAAAAGUCAGUCUCUGGGCAGGCUGGGGUAAAGAGGGAUUGCUAAACAGGUGCUAGGUAAGCCUGAAACUGCUGGGGGCCAAUUUAGUAUGAAGCAGGAAGAACCUAAUAAGGAAUAAAGUUACUCUGGAGGAAAGCCAAGCAGGGGAUGGAGAGA